UCUCAGUUCGGAUUGUAGGCUGAAACUCGCCUACAUGAAGCUGGAGUUACUAGUAAUCGCAGAUCAGAAUGCUGCGGUGAAUGCGUUCCCGGGUCUUGUACACACCGCCCGUCACACCACGGGAGGUGGAGACGCCCGAAGCCGAUUAUCUAACCUUUUGGAAGAAGUCGUCGAAGGUGGAAUCAAUAACUGGGGUGAAGUCGUAACAAGGUAGCCGUAUCGGAAGGUGCGGCUGGAUCACCUCCUUUCUAAG
rnacentral:rRNA from 1 species